AAAGGACUUUGAAAAGAGAGUUCAAGAGAACGUGAAAACACUAAUGUGGAAGCGGAGAGAGUUGUCUGAUCUGGGUAGCUAAGCUUAUGCGUUGGCCGUUAGUUCGGUCUUCGUUGAGUGGUGCUGCCGUGGAUGCGCUGGUAGUGUCGGUGAUGGUCGCUGACCCGGUAUGUGUAGCCCACUUCGGUGGUGUCUUGCUGCUGGUUAGGCGUCUCGUUGCUGAUGCUGAGCUUCACCUAGUGAAGUACCGGUGUUAUAGACGACCACCUCUCCGGCCCGUCUUGAAACACGGACCGAGGAGUGUAACUAGUACGCGAGUCAGAGAGUGGUAAACUCUAUGGCGUAAUUAACGUGAAGGUUGUUCAUCAGCCUGACAUGGGAUCCGUUUCUUCGGAAGCGGCGCACCAUGGCCCUGUCUUGGAAGCUUGCUUCUGGGCAGAGGAAGAGCGUACUGGUUGCGACCCGAAAGAUGGUGAACUAUGCGUGCGCAGAACGAAGCCAGAGGAAACUCUGGUGG
rnacentral:rRNA from 1 species